AUGCGAAUCUGGCCUUCUCACCUGUCUUUCCCUGCACAGGUCCUUACAUCUCCCCUCUGGUUGGAGUGGAAAAUUACCAACAUCACCUGUGCAACAUCAGCGCACAGGUGACCAGUGUGUGAACAGAUGUUUACUAGUAUAAGACUCCCUUUUGCUAACAGAGGUGUUAACUCCCCUGUUUUCAGGGUUAUGUUCCCACAACCAAUGCCAAACAGUACUUUUCUAUAUUUAUGUGUUUCACCAUGGACCAUUAUCUGCUGUCACUGACACAAGGUGGGGAGAAGAGAAUGUCAUCUAUUGUAUAAUUAAAAAACCACUUGUGAAACAAAGAUGAUAUUCCCCUGAAGAUCUAUCAUCUCCUGCCUUAAAUGACUUGUAGAAAAUAAAUUCCAGUGGGACACAAUAAAUCUAAUUAGGAUAAAAUAUAAUUUGUGCUUUUUCCUGGAACAGCAAUUUUGAUGUAGUAUGUGUGAUAACUGCAAACCUGGGCAAAGACUCUGAAAGCAACAAACAACUGUCCCCAUGAAUCUACCAGCCUUUUGUUCUUUAACCUAGGGCUUUCCAGGCUAGCUUUUUCAGGCUAGCACAGUGGCUAUGAAUGCCUGCAUCUGUUAUGUGUGAUUACCUUUAGGGAUCAGUAAUUAGCAACACUGACAAUCAACUGGGAAUUUUUAUGUGUCACUCUAAAGGUGUCCUGGGAACAUGUACACAGCAUUAAAAGAUGAAAGCCAAGCAAUGGGGAGGGAAACUGCAGUGUUGUUUGUAGUAUGUUCCUUAUUUGCUGUUGUUGACCUUGCACCAGCCUCUCUGUUGGUAACCCCAAGAGACAUACUCAGAUGUGAUCCGGAAACAUUCUGCGAGGAACACAAUCUGAAGCCACUCUAGGCCUUUAAAAUCUGAUUUCUAGACUGAUUGAAUAUGCUAUUACCUUUGAUCACUAGCAUUCUGGCCUGCCGGUAAGAGACCCUGGCUGGAGUUUCCUAAUCCAUCCAUCAUUACUUUCUUGAGAGUUUAUUCCAGUGUGAUGCAUUGGUAGGAUUUCUCUGGACAGUAACGCAAGGUGUUUUGUUGCAUUGUGUUGUAUUUUCUUGCCCCCACAUUCAGUCUCUAUCUUCCUCAUUUUGGAUACACUGAAUUCUCCCAGAUCUUCAGAGGGGAGAAGAUUGAAAAGGGAGAUUGAAAAGACAACCUGCUCAAAGCUACCCAGGGAACUCUUAUAUGACAACAGAUAUAUCUGUACCAUGCACAGUCUCUGGGUACAGUAAGUCACCUUGCUGAUUACCUGAAGGUCAUGCCAGCUUGAUGGUGACUUUGAGCAGGUUCAGGGUGGCAGAAAGCAUCUUGAUCUCUACAUAGAGCCAUCACUAUACAAUCCCAAGACCUUGAAGGCAAAGAAUGACUGCCUCCUUAUUAUGGUAUCUUAGAGGCAUCAGUGAUCAUGGAGGAGAAGUUAUGAACAUUGAGAGAUAAAAUGGGUUGCAAAGGUUACAAGGUUGCAAAGGACAUGAAAAAAAAAAACCAAACAACCAAGCUUUAAAUAUUUUAUUCUCCUAAUAACAGUCUCUCUCUCCCAUCCUGAUGAAUGGGAAUUUUUUUCUGCAUUUUCACUUAGUUCUGAUUGUUUGGUGUGGACCUGAUACUGUGGUGCAGCUGUAAGAAAUGAUGCAAAUUCCACUGAUUUAGUGAAGAUAAGGAAGGGGAUGUCUACCUGCUUUAAGUCUAAUCCCCAGCCCUCUCAAGCAUGUGCGUUCUUGGUAGUGUCUGAGGAUGUACCUGCUCAGGCCAGGAACACAGGAGUUAUUUUCAAGACAAGAGGAAGUUAAUGCAUAAGACAAAGUACAACAUUAAAUAUCAGAAGUGCUUUAGUAGGUUGUGGGUAAUAGCAAUGUAAGGUAUUGAUUCAGCAUGCCAGAAAUACUCUCUCUAAAAAGCUUUAACAAUGCUAAAUGCAAGAGAAAUUUCCCCCUAUCAGUAAAAUGAUGGCUUGUACAUGACACCAACCAAACACUGCUGAAACUGCAGAAGAACAGAGCUUUGAAUGACUGCCCCUACAUGUGUUUUCCUUGGAGGCUUCCUACCCAGAGAGCAACUUCAGCUCUGUUUAGAUUUGAGAAAGAUGCAGCUAUUGUGUGAAGCAAUAGCACUCCAGUAUGGAGUAUAGAUAAUCUGUUUUCUACAGCCACAUGUUUUAAAUACCUUUCAUGAGAAUCGUCAUUCCUUUUCACUGGAUUUUAUCAUCAGUCUUUAACAAAACAAGUAUGUGCUUCUAAUGCUUCCCUGAGGAUGCUUUAAAGGAGGAACUUAAACAUAGAAAAGAUCCAGGCCAAUGUUCAGUCAUUGCAUGUGCAUUAGGGUUUUUUGACUAUUCGACGUAGUCAGAGGACAUAUGUGGGAGCCUUUUACUAUGGCUCUGUGUAUUGUGUGUAAACGUUAAUUUUAUUUUUAACAGAUGUAUACGAAUUUUAUCUCUGAAAAAAUGUUAUGCCCUGCUACGGGCACCCGCAAGUCAGAUUAAUGUGUUGAAGUGAAAGAAGAGAGAAGAGAGAGUGAAAGCACUUUACUCAC